UAUUGAUGAUGGUAUUGAUGAUGAUGAUGAUGAUGAUGAUGGUGGUGAUGAUGAUGAUCAUCAUCAUCAUCAUCAUUCUCAUAAUCAUUAUCAACA
rnacentral:pre_miRNA from 1 species